CCUACGGGGGGCUGCAGUGGGGAAUUUUGCACAAUGGGCGAAAGCCUGAUGCAGCAACGCCGCGUGUGUGAUGAAGGUCUUCGGAUCGUAAAGCACUUUCGACCGGGACGCGGUACCGGGAGAAGAAGCACCGGCUAACUCUGUGCCAGCAGCCGCGGUAAUACAGAGGGUGCAAGCGUUGUUCGGAAUUAUUGGGCGUAAAGCGCGUGUAGGCGGCUUAGCAAGUCGGGCGUGAAAGCCCUCGGCUCAACCGAGGAAGUGCACCCGAAACUGCUGAGCUUGAGUGCCGGAGAGGAUGGCGGAAUUCCCCAAGUAGAGGUGAAAUUCGUAGAUAUGGGGAGGAACACCGGGGCGAAGGCGGCCAUCUGGACGUACUGACGCUGAGACGCGAAAGCGUGGGUAGCAAACAGGAUUAGAUACCCUUGUAGUC
rnacentral:rRNA from 1 species